rnacentral:rRNA from 1 species
GCUAGUAAUGGCAGGUCAGCAUACUGCCGUGAAUACGUUCCCGGGCCUUGUACACACCGCCCGUCACACCAUGAGAGUUGGGAAUACCCGAAGCCUGUGAGCUAACAUUUAUGAGGCAGCAGUCGAAGGUAGAAUCAAUGAUUGGGGUGAAGUCGUAACAAGGUAUC